rnacentral:rRNA from 1 species
GACGAACGCUGGCGGCGUGCUUAACACAUGCAAGUCGAACGGAAAGGCCCUGCUUUUGUGGGGUGCUCGAGUGGCGAACGGGUGAGUAACACGUGAGUAACCUGCCCUUGACUUUGGGAUAACUUCAGGAAACUGGGGCUAAUACCGGAUAGGAGCUCCUGCUGCAUGGUGGGGGUUGGAAAGUUUCGGCGGUUGGGGAUGGACUCGCGGCUUAUCAGCUUGUUGGUGGGGUAGUGGCUUACCAAGGCUUUGACGGGUAGCCGGCCUGAGAGGGUGACCGGCAACAUUGGGACUGAGAUACGGCCCAGACUCCUACGGGAGGCAGCAGUGGGGAAUAUUGCAAAAUGGGCGGAAGCCUAAUGCAGCAACGCCGCGUGCGGGAUGACGGCCUUCGGGUUGUAAACCGCUUUCGCCUGUGACGAAGCGUGAGUGACGGUAAUGGGUAAAGAAGCACCGGCUAACUACGUG